rnacentral:misc_RNA from 1 species
GCCAGCUCCCAUGCCUAACAUUGGAUCAAAAUAUGGCCGGAAGGCCACUUGGAUCGGUGCGAGUGGGGACCAGA